AGCAGCCGCGGUAAUUCCAGCUCCAAUAGCGUAUAUUAAAGUUGUUGCAGUUAAAAAGCUCGUAGUUGAAUUUCGGGAUCAGUACGUUGGUCGUGCCUUCGGUACGUACUGAUGUUACUGGUUUCUACCUUCUGAAGAACCGUCAUGUCAUUAAUUUGGUGUGGCGGGGAAUCAGGACUGUUACUUUGAAAAAAUUAGAGUGUUUAAAGCAGGCUCGCGCUUGAAUACAUUAGCAUGGAAUAAUGAAAUAGGACGUUCGAUCCUAUUUUGUUGGUUUCUAGGAUUGACGUAAUGAUUAAUAGGGAUAGUUGGGGGCAUUAGUAUUCAAUUGUCAGAGGUGAAAUUCUUGGAUUUAUUGAAGACUAACUACUGCGAAAGCAUUUGCCAAGGAUGUUUUCAUUAAUCAAGAACGAAAGUUAGGGGAUCGAAGACGAUCAGAUACCGUCGUAGUCUUAACCAUAAACUAUGCCGACUAGGGAUCGGAUGAUGUUAAUUUUUUAAUGACUCA
rnacentral:rRNA from 1 species